rnacentral:misc_RNA from 1 species
UCUAGGAGCAUUGAGACAUUUGAGUUCUGUUAACUGAUAAUUCUGUGCAAAUUGAAGUUGGGAUGAGUCAAAUCUGCAGCAAUCCUUGUGUGUAUGUUUAUGGUUGGUGGAUUUUCAUUUGGGUUAUGUGAACUUACAUCAGCAACAUAAUACAUUGAUAAAUUUGAAUUUGACCAUGUAGUGGUGAUCAUGAAGAAUUUGGUCGUGUGCGUGCAGGUGUUUUAUACUGGAGUUCGCUAGGAUCACUGUCUGUGGCACGCUAAGGUGAAAUGGGAUAAUUUUGACAGUGGCAGACCUUAAUGCAAAAGAGUCGCCUUGUGUAUUUUAUUGGUGAAAAAAGCAACCUGGAAGUUUUUAUGGUUGAAGAAACAGAAUUGAAUGUUAGAACCUCUGAGGCGUCCCUUUCUGUAGAUGUAUUGUCGUUUGUGAAUGCAAAUGUCUUAGAUCUAUUGCUUUACAUUGCAUCUAUGAAAAUGGGCAACACUUGUUAAGAGGAUAUUGUAAGUAGCCUAGAUAGUUGAGCUGUUUCUUCUAUGAAAAUGAGAAGAAAUCUGUAUGAUUAUUAAUUUUGAUUCUUGCUGAGCGCGUUUGUUUCUUUCACAUUGGAAAAUUUGGGAAGCCUACAUGUGAAGACAAUACAAAUCUUAGGCUUCAAUAUUUUCCUAGAAAAUAUGUUUUC